rnacentral:rRNA from 1 species
UAUCCGGAUUUAUUGGGUUUAAAGGGUGCGUAGGCGGUUUGAUAAGUUAGAGGUGAAAUACCGGGGCUCAACUCCGGAACUGCCUCUAAUACUGUUGAACUAGAGAGUAGUUGCGGUAGGCGGAAUGUAUGGUGUAGCGGUGAAAUGCUUAGAGAUCAUACAGAACACCGAUUGCGAAGGCAGCUUACCAAACUAUAUCUGACGUUGAGGCACGAAAGCGUGGGGAGCAAACAGGAUUAGAUACCCUGGUAGUCCACGCAGUAAACGAUGAUAACUCGUUGUCGGCGAUACACAGUCGGUGACUAAGCGAAAGCGAUAAGUUAUCCACCUGGGGAGUACGUUCGCAAGAAUGAAACUCAAAGGAAUUGACGGGGGCCCGCACAAGCGGAGGAACAUGUGGUUUAAUUCGAUGAUACGCGAGGAACCUUACCCGGGCUUGAAAGUUAGUGACGAUUCUGGAAACAGGAUUUCCCUUCGGGGCACGAAACUAGGUGCUGCAUGGUUGUCGUCAGCUCGUGCCGUGAGGUGUCGGGUUAAGUCCCAUAACGAGCGCAACCCCUACCGUUAGUUGCCAUCAGGUCAAGCUGGGCACUCUGGCGGGACUGCCGGUGUAAGCCGAGAGGAAGGUGGGGAUGACGUCAAAUCAGCACGGCCCUUACGUCCGGGGCUACACACGUGUUACAAUGGUAGGUACAGAGGGCCGCUACCCCGUGAGGGGAUGCCAAUCUCGAAAGCCUAUCUCAGUUCGGAUCGGAGGCUGAAACCCGCCUCCGUGAAGUUGGAUUCGCUAGUAAUCGCGCAUCAGCCAUGGCGC